rnacentral:lncRNA from 1 species
AGGUAGAGAGAGAAACUCCAGCUUCUCUCUAAAAUACUCAUCUUCUUCCCUGCUCCACCUUCAUCUAUGCUAAAUCUGUGUAUGUAAUUCACAUACACUGAUAGUGAUGGCAAGAGGAAGAGGACGUGGUCGAGGAAGAGGUAGACCAAGGAAAAUUUUAGUCCAAAUCUAUGCAAACCCUAACCCCCAAAUCGCAACGAAAUCCCAUGCCACAAUCAAUGUUGAUAUGCAGGUAACUAGUGAUCCAG